GGUCGGUUAGCUCAGUUGGUUAGAGCGUGGUGCUAAUAGCGAUCUGCUGGUUAACGCCAAGGUCGCGGGGUAAGUUCAUCUAUCUAACAUGGCUGCGACGACAUAUACUGAUAUAUCAUCAGUUCGACCCCCGUACUGACCA